ACGCUGCCAGCACGCAUGCGCGACGUCUCAAUCGCUUCAGCUUUCGGCGGUGGAAGUCGAGGAGUUCGGAAGUUCAAAAUGGCCGCGGCGACGAUAGUGGAGUCGGGUCUGCGGGGGCGCGGAAUUGAUGAUGCUGAUAUUUCUGAGAGAAGUGCAAAUGAAGAAAAUGGGGAUAUUUCAGAAGGAGAGCAACCACAAAUUAAACACAGCCGGCAUAAAAAAAAGAAACACAAACACCGAGGUAAACAUAAGAAACAUAAACAUUCUUCAGAAGAAGAUAAGGACAAAAAACAUAAACAUAGGCACAAACAUAAGAAACAUAAACGAAAGGAGAUUACUGAUGCCUCUGAUAGAGAAGAUGGUCCAGCAAAAAGAACUAAAAUUGAUUUUUUAGCUCCUUUAGAAGACUUAGAGAAACAAAGAGCAUUGCUUAAAGCUGAACUUGAAAAUGAGCUAAUGGAAGGAAAAGUUCAGUCUGGGAUGGGAUUAAUAUUGCAAGGUUAUGAGUCAGGUUCUGAAGAGGAGGGAGAAAUCAAUGAUAAGGUGAGAAAUGGGACUAGAUCUGCAACUAAGUCAUCAAAUGUUAAAGGGAAACCGGAAAUUUUAGACAAUAAAACAAGUUCAAAGAAACGGAGUAAGAGCAGAUCAAAAGAACGGACUCGGCACAGAUCUGAUAAAAAGAAAAGCAAGUCAGGAGUUGAUGGAGUAAAAGAGAAAACAACAAGAAGUAAAUCAAAAGAGAGGAGAAAAUCAAAAAGCCCAUCUAAAAAAAUAAAGUCUCAAGACCAAGUAGGAAAGUCAAAGUCUCCAACUCUUAGAAGGCGCUCUCAGGAGAAAAAUAGGAAGUCAAAGUCUCCAGAAGAUAAGACUAAAGCAGAAGAUAAGAUUAAGUCUAGAGAUCAUAAAAAAUCUCCAGCUGUUAAUGAAAGUAAAAACAGAGAUCGUGGCAAAAAAUCAAAAUCUCCAGUAGAACAAAGAAGCAAAUCCAAAGACAGACGAUCAAGGUCUAAAGAUCGAAAAUCCAGAAGACUGGAGGCAGAAAAAGAGAAGAAGCCCACCAAAUCUCCUUCUAAAGAUGCAUCAUCAGGGAAAGAAAACAGGUCUCCUGGUAGAAGACCUGGCCGCAGCCCUAAAGGAAGAAGUUUGUCUCCGAAACCACGAGAUAAGCCAAGACGCAGCAGAUCACCUCUCCUUAAUGACCGCAGAUCUAAGCAGAGUAAAUCGCCCUCUCGAAAUCUGUCUCCUAGGAGAGCAAAGAGUAGAUCUGUAGAAAGAAAAAGAAGAGAAUCGGAAAGGAGGCGUUUUUCUUCUCCAAGAACACGAACAAGGGAUGAUAUCCUCUCUAGACGUGAGCGAUCAAAAGAUGUCAGCCCACCUAGGUGGUCCCCAUCCAGAAGAAGAUCCAGGUCUCCUAUUCGACGAAGAUCUCGCUCAGUUCUUCGACGUAGCCGGUCUCCAAGAAGGAGGAGUAGAUCUCCUCGGAGAAGGGAUAGGGGUCGACGGAGUCGAUCUCGUCUUAGGAGGAGGUCUAGGUCACGGGGUGGCCAUAGGCGGAGGAGUAGGAGCAAAAUAGAAGACAAAUUUAAAGGAAGCCUUUCUGAAGGGAUGAAGGUUGAACAAGAAUCCUCAUCAGAUGAAAACCUUGAAGACUUUGACGUUGAAGAAGAAGAUGAGGAAGCUUUGAUAGAGCAAAGAAGAUUACAGAGGCAAGCAAUUGUUCAGAAAUACAAGUACCUAACUGAAGAUAGCAAUAUGUCUAUGCCAUCUGAACCAAGCAGUCCUCAGAGCAGCACUCGAAGUCGCUCAAACUCACCUGAUGACAUUCUAGAGCGAGUAGCUGCUGAUGUUAAAGAGUAUGAACGGGAAAAUGUGGACACUUUUGAAGCCUCAGUGAAGGCUAAGCACAACCUCAUGGCUGUUGAGCAAAAUAAUGGUUCAUCUCAGAAGAAAAUUACAGCUCCUGACAUGUUCACAGAAUCAGAUGAUAUGUUUGCUGCAUAUUUUGAUAGUGCGCGCCUUAGGGCUGCUGGCAUUGGAAAAGACUUCAAAGAAAACCCCAAUCUCAGGGAUAACUGGACAGAUGCAGAGGGGUAUUACCGUGUUAACAUAGGUGAAGUCCUAGAUAAACGCUACAAUGUAUAUGGGUACACUGGCCAAGGAGUUUUCAGUAAUGUGGUGAGGGCCAGAGAUAUGGCAAGAGCAAACCAAGAAGUGGCUGUCAAAAUCAUUAGGAACAAUGAGCUUAUGCAAAAAACUGGUUUAAAAGAACUGGAAUUCUUGAAAAAACUCAAUGAUGCAGAUCCUGAUGACAAGUUCCAUUGCCUGCGAUUGUUCCGGCAUUUUUAUCACAAGCAGCACCUUUGUUUAGUAUUUGAACCACUCAGUAUGAAUUUACGAGAGGUGCUAAAGAAGUAUGGAAAAGAUGUUGGCCUCCAUAUAAAGGCAGUACGAUCAUAUAGUCAACAGCUGUUCCUAGCAUUAAAACUUCUUAAAAGGUGCAACAUCUUGCAUGCUGAUAUCAAACCAGACAAUAUUUUAGUGAAUGAAUCUAAAACUAUUCUAAAACUCUGCGAUUUUGGGUCGGCUUCACAUGUUGCGGAUAAUGACAUCACACCGUAUCUUGUCAGCCGAUUUUAUCGUGCUCCUGAAAUUAUUAUAGGCAAAAUCUAUGACUACGGUAUAGAUAUGUGGUCUGUAGGCUGUACAUUAUAUGAACUUUACACAGGAAAAAUAUUGUUUCCUGGGAAAACCAACAAUCAUAUGUUGAAACUUGCUAUGGACCUCAAAGGAAAGAUGCCAAACAAGAUGAUCCGAAAAGGAGUCUUCAAAGAUCAACACUUCGAUCAAAAUCUCAACUUUAUGUACAUAGAGGUAGAUAAAGUAACAGAAAGGGAAAAAGUAACUGUCAUGAGCACCAUUAAUCCAACAAAGGACCUGCUGGCUGAUUUAAUUGGGUGCCAACGCCUCCCUGAAGAUCAGCGCAAAAAGGUUCACCAGCUGAAGGACUUGUUGGACCAGAUCCUCAUGUUAGACCCAGCUAAACGGAUUAGUAUCAACCAGGCUCUGCAGCAUGCCUUCAUCCAGGAGAAAAUUUAAAUCCGGCGAAGAUGUUCAAAGGGUUUGACUAGUUAAUAUACAAAGACUGAUGCAAUUUCACAGCAAUUUAUAAAUGUACAUAUAGCAUAUAAAUAAUUGCCCUGCAAAGUUGAGGAAGAAUGAUAUAUUUGAAUUAACACCAAGGCGGAUAUUUCUUUUAGAAAUGUUAGAGUAAAUCUGUUUGUCUCUCACGUGAAGAUUUUUUCACUGUAGAACUGUUUUAUUGCCAAGACUGCACAGAAGUACAAUGCUAGCGUAUAUGGCUGCAGUUCCCAAACAUAUAUAUAUAUAAUGUAUAUAUAUAAACACACACACAUGCUCUCUCUCUCUCACCCUAACUAAAUGCAACAAAGCAUCUCUUAAAAUAUCAGUAAGACUGGGUGGUUGAUUUUGGUUUUUAGCAGAUUUGGCUUCAUUUUGGUCUCUGAAAAAUGGCCAGCAUAAAUGCUGUUUAUAUUGCAUUUUCCUAGGUGUGUGCGUGCAGGCCACAGCAGCAUGCCCUUGGUGUAGUCAGUGCCGAAGGGGGUCUAUUCCUUCUUGAGCCUGCCCGCAGGGAUGGUCUCCUCUUUUAAAGCAGGUUGCGUACAACUUUCAGUACACUGAAGGCAUAAACCUUCCACUCUUGAACAAAGCAGCUGCUUUUUAAAAGCGGUAAUUGCUUCUUUACCUUUUAUUUCUUUUGUAAAUGAAGCUUUCUUUAAGAAAUGUGACUUUAAAGUGUUGUCUCUUGCAUAAAACAGUUGACAUUCACUUAUUGUAAAGUGAAGAUUGUUCUGCUGCAUGUAAAGUGGACCAUGCAGAUUUCUGUAUGUUUUCAGUAUGCAUCAUUAGAUAAUAAAGUCUUUUGUGAACAAGGCAUUGGUAGCCAUUUUUAAAAGAUUUUUGUCUCCAGUGUUGCCGACUCAGGUAAUCGCAUCAGAGGAAUCUUUCGUUUUUGAUAGUCCAUUAAUUAAAGCAGUUAAUAAAAGAUGUGGCCCAUUGAAAGAGAGAUUAGAUUAUUAAUUAUCCACAUUUCAGUUUAGAUACUACCCCCUGCACCCUACAGAUACUAUCUACUUUCAUUGUAAAUUUAUUCCUGUAGGUUGUUGGAUUCGAAUCAGGUUUUAACUAAUGUUUGUGCUGUUUUUCUUACUUUUCCUUUUUGAUGGUGCUGAGAGAGACAAGGAAAGCAAGUCACAGGCCACUCAACGCCUACUCCAGGGGGUCUGGUUUGCUGAGACACCAACUUCACCUUCCUAACAAGGUGCCGCUCAAAUGAAGAUGAUGGAAACCAGAAGACAUGAACAAAGGGUAAGUGGCAGAAAAUUUCUGAGAAACAUUUGCAUGGAUUGAAGUUUGCUCAGGAGGCAGAUCAGACUAUGAAAAUACAGAAGGCUGAUAUCUUUGUGAGAUUGACGAACAGUAAUGAACUUGUGCAUCAAAAAGUGAAGCAGUGGUUUAAGAUAACUAUUUUUACCAUUCAUUUUUGACGUUUGAUGAAUAACGAGCUUAUUAAAGUUUUUUGUGUU